AGCUCCUGAAAGAUGUGAGUAGACUUAUUGAUACACAUGUGUGAAUGGUUUAAAAGCUAAAACGUUUUCCCAUCUUAUUUUAUUAUUUCCUGACUCAGCUUACUAGCAAACCUGUCGUCAUCAUUGUUUGGUUAUUGUCAACGAUGCUAACGCUAACGCUAAUGCUAACGCUAAUGCUAACGCUGAUGCUAACGCUAGCUAACUUAACGUUACAGUAUGUAAAUCUGUCUUGUAUCUCUUCUAACUUUGUAACAUUAGACCUGAGUAAGUUUUGCAUGUCACAUUCAUUCAUGCAUUCAUAAUUAGGCUAAAUGUAUUGUGCAAGAUAUAGUGACAUGCAUCAUGACAUGCGACUAUUACAGUAUGAAAAGAAAUCAGAACAUUCAGGGAUUCUUCAAAAGAAAGAAAUCCAAAACAACAGAGCAGGACAGAGCAGCAGAAGCCAGCAGUGCUAGUCAGUCUGAGGAUGAGAGCCAGCUUGACUCUGCUAGGGAUGUACAGCAGGAGCCUCCAGCUUCAGCUGUACACAUGGACUCAGACAAGGAUACUGGUGAUGAAGGCCCUUCAUCUUCACUUGCACAUCAGGGUGUGUCAAGUCAGCCACUCUCUGACAAUGACACUGACACUGAGAACCAUCCAGCAGUACCUGCAGGCCAUGCAGUGACACGUGGGGAUGGUGAUGCAGCAGCCCUUGUGGCCCCACCUGGACCUCAUGGUAUGCCUUAAUAUUUCAUAUGAAAUAUAUUGUACUUAAUUCAAUUCUUUCAUCUGUACUAAUGCCCCAAUGAGCACUUCUGUCCCAACAAGUACAUGACACUGAUCCAAUUCUCAUGCUUUUGUCAC